UACGUAGGGUGCGAGCGUUAAUCGGAAUUACUGGGCGUAAAGCGCGCGUAGGCGGCUUUUCAAGUCGAUUGUGAAAUCCCCGGGCUUAACCUGGGAACUGCAGUCGAGACUGUCUAGCUAGAGUAUGGGAGAGGGAAGUGGAAUUUCAGGUGUAGCGGUGAAAUGCGUAGAUAUCUGGAGGAACACCGGUGGCGAAGGCGGCAUCCUGGACCAACACUGACACUGAGGAGCGAAAGCCAGGGGAGCAAACGGG
rnacentral:rRNA from 1 species